AUAUAAGUACAUACAUAUAGAUAUGUGUAUGUGUGUAUAUAUAUAUAUACACACAUACACAUAUGUAAAAGUGUAUAUAUAGUCAUACACAGACUCCAUAAAGAGACAGUAUAAUAGCGAAACAAGAUUCUUGCGUUAAUGUUGUGUGCCUCAUUUCAGUUUAUUUUAACAUUUGUACAUAUUUUAGUCAUAUAUAUGUAUGUGUGUGUACAUAUAUAUGUGUGUAUAUAUAUAUAUAUGUAUAUAUAUAUAUAUAUACACACACACACGCAUACAUAUAUAGGUAAAUGCACAUUGUUGUGUAGAGUAUCAAAUACUUCCCAUUAAGAUAGCUACAUAGAAUAAAUGUGACGUUGCUUAAAGAAAAUUAGUUAAAAUUUUAAUUGCAAAUCUUAAUAGUUAAAUAAUGUUAGCCUUUUAAUGUAUAUAUAUUAUAUAUGUCCAGAAUAUGAAUUAUGAAUUUUUAAUAAUUGUAAAAAAAAAAAGUAAAAAUAAAAAAUACAAAAAUAAAUAAAUAAAACCUACCAGCAAAAAUUAAAAAAAUACAUCAAACACCCCUUUGACAUCACAACCUUGACUAUGUGUGCUAUUACCUCUCUGUUUCCCUCUCUCUCUCUCUCUCUUCUCUCUCUCUCUCCCAUUCACAAUCUGUCUGGCAGUGAUCCAGAAGCAAAAUAAACUAUUGUGGUGUAUAUUGUCGUAUGACUUACAUGAAAUUUGAGCAAUGUUCUGAAUCUCCUCAGUACCUGUUUCAGCAACUUGUUUACAUCCACCCACUUUACCAUAACCCACAGCAUCAUCACUUUCUCUAUCUUCAUGGGUCUCAAACAAAAGAGGAGUCCAAAAUGUUUAAAAAAUCUCCACUCCCCACAGCACCUUAACAUAAUGAAUUCUACAAACUCUACAAUGACAUUAGUAUAUGUUUAUAUAUAUAUACAAGUAUAAUGAUAAAACCAAAUAUUGAUAUUUUGAUAUUUUGAAAGCAUUUAAUACACAUGUCUCCAGUAGUUAUGCAAGAUAAUUCUUACAUAAUAUCUUCCUUUGUCAAUUUGAGUGAGGAUAGUACUAUUAAGUAAGAAUUAUCUUGCAUAAUUACUGCAAAGAUAUAUAAUGUGAGCUGCUGCUGGCUAAGGCAGUGAAACUCAAAUAAAUAAACUUUGCAGUCUAUUUAAAUAAUAAAACACCUUGCACAAAAUAACAACGGCUCAGGGAAGUCCAUACCUUGCCAUGAUGGGAAAUAAUAGCUACUGGCUUAAUCAUGGUGCUGAUAUUUUAAAGAGGCUGACACUCUUUGUAGAGAUUUAUAAAAUCUACUGCAGAAACUUAUAAGAGAGAGGCUUAUGACACUCAUAAAGACUUAAGACAUCCACUGUGAUGACUUAAGACAUCCACUGUGGAAACUUAUGAUAUCCAUCGUGGAGAUUUGUGACAUCCUCAGUGGAGACUUACGACAUUCAGUGUGGUACUUAUGAUAUCCACUGCAGAUAUUUAUCACAUCCCUCCACUGUAAACACUUAUGAUAUUCACUGUAGUAAGACUUAUGAUGUCAGCUUCUGAGAAAAGUUAUAAUAACUAUGUAGAGCCUUCAGAGAUCAAUUGUAAAUUUGUUUUAUCUUCUUUCUCUCUUUCAUUCUUUGUCUUUCGUUUCUGUCAUCCUCCACCUCUUUUUUUAUUUCACACUAAAAUCAAAGUUGAUUUUUAAAAUUUUAAUUAAUCAUUGCAAAAAAACAUACACAUACACGCACACUUUUUAUUGCAUACAUACUUUUAAAAUAAUGUUUCAGGUUUUAAUAUUUUAUAAAUGCAAUGAUAAAAUAAAAUAGAUUCUAAAAAUAAUGCUAUAGGUUUUAAUACUUACUAAACACAAUAAAAUAAAACAUAUCUUAAAAAUAAUGUCUUAGGUUUUAAUUUACUAAACAUAAUGAUAAAAUAAAAUAAUUCUGAAAUAAUGUUAUAGGUUUUAAUUUUUAUUAAACAUAAUAAAACUUACAUGUUUCUAAAAUAAUGCUGUAGGUUUUAAUUUUUACUAAACUCAAUGAUAAAACAAAAAAAAGAAGGCUUUUAAAAUAAUGCUAUUGGUUAUAAUUUUUAUUAAACACAAUAACAAAACCUAUUUCUAAAAUAAUGCUAUAGGUUAUAAUUUACUAAGUUUUUUUUAAGUAUUAUUUUUAUUUUUUUGUUAAUACUAAACUGUUUUUUUUCCUAACUCUGAUGUUUUUCUUAAAAGAAAUUUACUUUUAAAAUCAAUAGAGAAAAUUUGCUUUUCCUACUGAUAUAUACAUGUGUGUGCAUACAUAUAUAUAUAGUAUUUUCCAUUGGCAACAAAUGCCCUGGCAAAAAUUACACAAAUCUAUUAAUUGCCAACAAGUUCAAGUAAUGGUCAUACAUUGAAAGCUUUAGAGAAAUUCUCUAAUUUUAGUCUUGCUAUUAAGCUUUUCCAAAAAGUGAUAAUCCUAUUUAGGAUAUUAAUAAUUUUAUAAAUAGCUUUUAUGCCUUAUUUUGCAUGUGCAUGCUAUAAUAGAUAACAUUUUUAAAAACUAAUAAAAAAAAUAUGGAUAAUAUUUGCUACUAAAGAGUAUUUUUUAUAGAAAUACUGCAUGAAAACCACUAACCCAUAACACAAAAUUGCUCACAUUGAAAGCUUUUACUAAAAAAUAAUAUUAAUAUACUUUGUUUUAAAAGAAAUUAUUCAUCAAUUAGCCUCUUUUUCUUUUUUUUUUUUUUCUUCCUUUAGAUUGUAUAAAACUUGUUUUGAUUCAAAUAUUAAGGUCUUGACGAAUUGGUUAAGAUGUAUGUAUGUUUAAAAGGGAGAAAGUAAGUCUGGGCUAUUGUUUGAAAAUUCUGAAAACUUUACUGACAUAAAAAAAUAGUCUGAGUCUUUAGUAAAGUUGUGGCAAAGCUUGGCAAUAUUUUUCUACAGGGAGAGAAAAUGAAUUUUUAUCUCCAAAUAAUGGGAAAAGAAGGAGUGACUUAAAUUAAAUUGUUCUGGUCUCAUUGCUAUUAGAUUGGAGUUAAAAAUUAGUGUGCUCUUAUUCCUGUCAGAUCUGAGUUUCAAAAUUGUCAUAGUUUUAUUGGUACCAAAUCUUGAGUUUAUAAUUAUUAUGGUAUUAUUAUGGUCUUACUAGUGUUAGAUCUGAGUAAUUAAUUGUCCUGCUGGUCUUAUUGAUGAUAUGAGAUCUGAGUUUUAAAAAAAAAAGUUAUCAUGGUCUUAUUGAAAUCAAUCAAAAUAUGUUGCUAUCCUUGAUACGGCUGAUCGCUAUUGCAUUCUGUAAUGUCAUAUUUUAUGAACAAAGACAUCACACUACGUUAUUAAUCUGAAUACCUAGGUGGGCAAACCGGUAAUGAAUGCUUGUGGAUAGAAAGCACAGGUGCAAGAAAUGGCACCGAAAGAUACAUAUAUAUAUUUAUCUGAAUCUGCAGAUUUUGUCUGAUCUAUAUCACCAAGGUGGGAAAAUGGACAGAAGAAAAAUGAUGUUUGUAGCUGCCGGUGUUGCUGCUGCUACUGCUACUUAUACUACAACUAUGACAGUUUCUAUUGCCAUUGCUGUUGUUCAUUUGUCCAUUUCAUCACUUCAAAUCACAUCAAACACCACAGCUUCAUUUCAUUUUUUUUUUUUUUUUUUUUUUUUUCAAAAACCAGACUUUGAAAAAAAAAAAAAACUUUAUUCAUUAAUGUAUGAUUUAAUCACUGUCAUUAUCAGAUUCACUACCGCUGCUACUACAACCAUCUUAAAACAAUUACCAUCAUUGAUAUCAUUCUCAUUGUCACCUUCACGAACGUCGUCUGCUCUUUAAAGGGAGAAAUAAAUUGUUAGUGUUUUGCUCUGAGGAUUACAAAUAAAGCAAAAGAAAAAAAAAACAGAAAGAAAAAGAAAAAAGGAAAGAGAAUACUGUGCCUGGACCCUGUACAUAUUUGGGGUUUUUAGUUUUUUUUUGUUUUUUUUUUGCCUGACCCCUUUUUCUUCAAAACUUUGUUUGUUACCAACAAACUACUUUUUAUACUGGGCUUUGAUUUUGAUAGAUCCCAAUAUUUGAAAGUCUAGUUCAUUGUCAUUAACUGUAGCACUUGGUAGUAUAUGAAAGUUUUUACUAUUCUUGUUGAUAUUAUUGAUAAUUAUAACAACUACCACUACCACCACUAUCACUUAUACUAGUUUGGCUAAUUUAUAGACUUUAAAUUUGAUUCUUUAUUGAAGGUAACCUUUUUUUUAAUACUAUUAAUAAGAUGACUAAUGAGAUAAUAUUCCAUCUUUAGAGAGUGUAUAUUUACAUCUGUACUGUUUCAAUUAGUUUGAUCUUCCUUCAUUAUGUGUCUUUUCUCUCAAUGCCUACACGGUACCCCAGACUGGAUAUCUACAUGGUACCCCAGACUGGAUGCCUCUAUGGUACUCCAGAACUGGAUACCUACAUCGUACCCCCUGAUUGGAUACCUACAUGGUACCCCUGAUUGGAUACCUACAUGGUACCCCAGACUGAAUACAGACAUGGUACCCCAGACUGGAUACCUACAUGGUACCCCUGAUUGGAUGCCUACAUGGUACCCCAGACUGGAUGCCUACAUGGUACCCUAGACUGGAUACCUACAUGGUACCCCUGAUUGGAUGCCUACAUGGUACCCCAGACUGGAUGCCUACAUGGUACCCCAGACUGAAUGCCUACAUGGUACCCCAGACUGGAUGCCUACAUGGUACCUCAGACUGAGUUCAGACUUCAGCAUCUUUAUUUCUAAACUAUGAAGAAUUGUCCAGAAAAUUCUAAUUUACUAACAAAAUCUUGUCUUUGUCUUCAACAAAUUACAAAUCAGUCAAGAACUGGCAGUCAGUAAAUUAAAUUAAAUUAAAUCAAAUUAAUACAGUUAGUCCCCUCCCCUCCUCUUUUCUCUUUGAUAAUUUAAUUUUUUUUGGCAAAUAAAUAAAUAAAUAGAUAAAUAAUAAUAAUUUCUGGUUUUAGAAACAGUUUGGUAAAAGUUCUGCUGAGUCACCUGAAAAUAGAUACGAGACAUUUAAUUAAAAUUAAUCUCUUGUUAUCUCGUAUUUGAUCUAUAAAGUAUUUUUAUGUGAUCAUUGUAAAUGCCUGGCUAUGGCUAUGUCCCAGCACUGCCUUAGCUCACUGGUAGAAACUUAAUAAAGACGGCAGUAGCUAACAUAUAACGGUUGGCUUUGAUAACCAUAUCAUAUUUAUCAUUAGCGAAAGAUGUGGCCUAGUAGUUUGGGUAUGGUUCCUCGUGAUCACACAAUCAAGGUUUCAAUUCUCAGACUGGUGAUGCAUUGUGUUCUUUGAGCAAAACACUUCAUUUCACAUUGCUCCAGUCCACUCAGUUGUAAAUGAGUAACUCUGCAAUGAAGGGUGUUCUGUCCAGGAGGAGUGUUGACCUACCUGCCUGCCAGCUUACCUAGCCAGUACUGUGAUCAAUAUAAUGAACUACAAACUCUUAAAGAUAGUGUUCCAGUUCGGCUGCAGUUCAAUGACCAAAACUAGAGUGAGCCAAGAGAUAAAUCUUUUAAGAACAAUUUAAUAUCCUUUCCCUAACGCUAAAAAUUCCAUUGUCUCAAUUUAUUUGCUGUUUUUCAUUAGACAAUUCUAUUGGUUUCGACCGCUAAUAAUAAUAAUAAUAAUAAUGAUGAUUAUUAAAAUAAUAAUAAUAAUAACAAUAAUUAAAAUAAUAAUAAUAAUAAUAAUAACAAUGAUUAAAAUAAU